UUUGCUGUGGAAUGUCCCUUUAAUGGCUUCUACUAAAGCUGGUUGGAGUCAGGUGUUCCAGGUAAAGUGAUAAGAUUUGAAGCCUUUUAAACGCACACAUGACAAAUCUGUUCUUCCCCAAGAGAAUUGGUUAGUUAAACUACUCCUCAAUCCCAAAAACUUUCACAGGACCUUAGAAGAUGCAUUAUAGAGAUGCACAAAGUAGGAAUAGUUUAAAAAAAGCGUUGCUGAAGUCCAAUUUAGGACAAAAUAGUCUACUAACUGAUAAAAUUCAGGAUUGUCCCUGCUCUCACUCAAAGGCCUGCAAAGAUCACUGCAAGAGCACAACAAGCAAUCACAAAAGAGGUUAGAAAGAACCCAU